AACCAAUGGUUUGCCAGGGGCUCUUGGGCCUUUGGCCACAGACUGAAGGCUGCACUGUCAGUUUCCCUACUUUUGAGGUUUUGAGACUUGGACUGGCCUCCUUGCUCCUCAGCUUGCUGACAGCCUAUUGUGGGACUUCACCUUGUGAUCCUGUCAGUCAAAACUGAAGAUCAGCUUUUGAUCAUGAAGAGGAGAUUAGGUCACAGAUGUUCAAUAAGGAAAGACCAUGUGAAGACACAAGAAGAUGGUCAUCUGCAAGCCAAGAGAAAUGUCUCAAAAGGAACUGGCCCUGCUGACAUCUUGACCUUGAAUUUCCAGCCUCAGGUUCUUGGAUGCUUGAUGGAAUUAAGGAUUUGAGAACAUGAGAACAAACAGGAAUAUGCAGGAAAUCUUGAGGACACAGGAGAUGAAGUCAACCUGUGGCCAAGGGAGAGGGAGGGACAUGAGAAGCUUUGUGAAAGAUGUCAGCGCAAACCUCAGGCAAGUGCCACCCAACCUAGAGCUGUGGAUUGAAGUUUGGCGUUGGGGUGUCAGCCUGUGAUUUCCUGAUCUCCAACUCCACUCCUCUUAAGUCACCCAGCCUAAGGCACUGAACCUCAUCAUCAGAACCUCAGAGUCCAACAUCUUGACCAUAGCCUUGCAACCCCACUGUUAGGUGAGUUUCAAGUUCUCACUCCCCAUAAACUUCUUCAGACCACUGCUCCCUCGAAUGACUUUGUUUCCUCCCAGGUCAUCAGUUUCCUUAGUCAAUUUCCAAGUCCUAUCAGUUGUAGACACUACGAUUGGUCAUCCCAUCUGAGUGACUAUUUCACUUAAACUUGCCUUUCCUCCUCUGUUUGCAAUAACUCUCAUACAUAGCUCUAGCUUAACAUCCACGUUGCCUUCUCUAUUCUUACCUCCAGGACAGCAGAACACUAAACAUUAAGUUCUUCAAUGCUAAAAAACAUCCUGUAAUCACGAAAAUCAGCCCAGUACAAAUUCAUGCUCACUACACGUGGUUCUCAGCUGCUGUGGGGCCUCUCUCUUCCCUUCAGUAUCCACAGACUUGCAACGUUCUUCUCAGCCUUCCUUCGCACCACUAAAUUAUCUCAUUAAGUCAGGACCAUCUGGUGGGAACUCCUUUAACUUCCCAGGGCCCAGGAAAAAUAAACCAUAUUUACCCAUGCCUCCCUCUUUCUCCAUGUGCCUUUUCAAGAAGAGAGGCUCUUCUCCCAGUGUCUCUCUCCCUGAUUCCAUAUCACCCUCUCUUCUUUGGGAUACUUCUCCAAAGAGUGUGGUCUUUCAGGUAUCCUUACUGUCUUAUGACUGAGUCAUUCCACUUGGCUUAUGAACCUCUUUGUUGCUUAUUCCAGGCACUCUGAGUCUCCCCUGCAUUCAGUCUCCCUUCAGCAUACAACACUGUUCAUGAUGCUUUUUGUAAAGCCCUCUGCUUCCCCAUCCUCCUUAGAUCUUCUGCUACUACUCUGGCCAGUUUUUUCUCUGUCUGCUGCUUCUCCUUCCCUUGACCUAUUACUUCCUUCCUCCUCCUGAAGAAAUCUGAUCUGCAGCUCCUCUUCUGUUUUCAUCAGUGUGCUCACUCUUGAUGCUGCUGCUCCUGCAGCUACUGCCAAGUCUCACUUGAUAGACAGUACCCACUCCAUAUGGGGCA
ensembl:lncRNA novel transcript